rnacentral:rRNA from 1 species
GGGCCCGCACAAGCGGUGGAGCAUGUGGUUUAAUUCGAUGAUACGCGAGGAACCUUACCAGGGCUUAAAUGCAGAGCGACAGAGGUGGAAACACCUCCUUCUUCGGACGGUCUGCAAGGUGCUGCAUGGUUGUCGUCAGCUCGUGCUGUGAAGUGUCGGGUUAAGUCCCAUAACGAGCGCAACCCCUAUUUCUAGUUGCCAGCGGUUCGGCCGGGGACUCUAGAGAAACUGCCAGCGUAAGCUGUGAGGAAGGUGGGGAUGACGUCAAAUCAUCACGGCCCUUACGUCCUGGGCUACACACGUGCUACAAUGGUGAGGACAGAGAGUUGCCAACCCGCGAGGGUGAGCUAAUCUUCAAACCUCAUCUCAGUUCGGAUCGGAGUCUGCAACUCGACUCCGUGAAGUUGGAAUCGCUAG